AUGCAUUUAAGUGCCUGUGAGUGGAGCACAAGUGGCUUUGUCCUGUCUCCCCCAGCAGUCUGCAUUCUCUACUGCAAGGAGAGAAAUACCACCUUACAAAAGAUGGCAGAGCACAUCAUUGCGGUGAUCCAAACCAACCAUACAACAGCCAGGACAGGAGCACAUACCGAACAGAAAGGGCUUAGGAACCAGUGGACUACUUCCUAUCACUGCCUUCUCAGGUCUCAAAGGGUGCAGUGCAGAGAGGAGCAUCUGAUAAUCCCUACUGUGGAAGGGAAAGCAAUGGCCCAGAGCAUUGUAUCAUUGAGUAGCCGAGUUGGGAAUCCCAUCUGA
rnacentral:lncRNA from 1 species